UCCUUGCCCAUGUUUAGUAGCUGACACUA
rnacentral:piRNA from 1 species